GUGAGAGCUACCGGAGGAAGGGUGAAGCGAAACAAAGACCAGCAGCAAAGGAACCCAGAUGUAUCUGCCCCCAGCUGUAACCCACUAAGAGCCUGCUCUCCUCCCAGAGCUGGGAUAGAACCCAGGAGUCCUGACAGAGUCUCUCUCUCUCCACAGAGUUAGUAAUAAGGAAUGGCCGGAGGUUCAUUACCACAGCAACCUCGACAGCACCAACGUGUCGCCCCGCCAGACUCUGGACGGAGCUCAUAAGGGCAUAUUGGCCUCCAGCACACAGGCACCCAGAAUCCAUGGCAGCUCUUUUGCCUGCAGAAGAGAAGCUCGUUAGAACCGCCAAGGGGAAGAUACUUACUAGAGAGAGAUGGGGUGUCAUGCUGAUAUUGAAGGCAGACCAAAAGGAAAGGCUGGUGCUGCUAAAACCCUCCAUUGUGUGACAGAGAAAGGUCAGUGAAAUAAUCUCAUUAAAAUGAUACCACACAGUGAGAGCAUCUGCAGGAGCAGCUGGAAACAAGGAAGAGAAUCAAUGCUAUGUGACAACCGACCUCUUCUCAGAUCCACAGUGGGUGCUCCAGAAACCGUAGCUGGGAAAUACUAGGGUAAUCGCAGGAGAGGCGGAAAAUGAAACUGGCUAGAAAUAGACCUUGAAAGUGACAAAUGGUAUAU